CUCACCAAGACAUAAAUAUAGUUAGUGAUUCCGCUUAUGUGGUGUAUAGUAUUACUCAUUUAGAUCUUGCACAUGUGAAGCGCAUUACUAAUAAACCCCUAUUAGCUUUGUUUCUUGCAACGCAAGAGCUCCUCUGUGCCUGUCGUCACCCUCUUUACAUCACACAUAUUUGCCGUCAUUCUGGGCUACCUGGUCCUUAUCAGAAGGGAAUGCUUGAGCUGAUGCUCUGGUACGACCACAGAUGUGGUUUGCAAAUUCUUCUGCUUUUUUGCAAGCUCAAGCUGAUCAUGUUGUUUUUUCAUCAGAACGCCCGCAGUCUUAAACAACAGCUUCAUUUGACACUUACUCAAGCUUGCAUGAUUAUUAAAACUUGUCCUAAUUGCCAACAGCAUUCUCUUUCCCCCUUUUCCUUAGGGCUUGGUGCCAACCUACGAGGUCUGGUGCCUAAUGCUAUCUGGCAAACUAAUGUUACUCGGUAUCCACCCUUUGGACGUUUUAAAUUUCUCCAUGUUACCGUGGACACAUAUACAGGCCUAAUACAUGCUAUCUCCCAGACAGGAGAAAAAACUAAAGAUGCAAUCGCUCAUUUGUUUAAAUCUAUUAUAACUCUAAGCCUUCCACACACUAUAAAAACUAAUAAUGGACCUUCCUAUCUUAGUGCUCGAUUUACAUAUGCAUUGCAACUUUGGCACAUGCCACACAAAACUGAUAUUCCUUAUAACUCAACCAGUCAGGCCAUUGUUAAACGAGCUCAUCAAACUCUUAAAGUAUAUCUUAAUUUAAAAAGGCAGGGAGGGGGAGGUUAUGGGGCUCUCUUCUAGAGAACAGGACCAGUCGUUGGAGAACCACCCAACAAUGAUAGUGAUGACUCGGAAGGCAGCUGACAUCACCUGGGGACAGCUAAAGAAAUUGAAUCAACAAGCAUCUAUCCAGCUUGCCGCCGUGGAAGCCCCUGCAACUGCAGACAAUCGGUUUCUUACGUAUCUGGCGGUAAUUGGGGAAACUUCUGAGAAAGUAAGACAGACAUGGAUGUUGGGGUGGCGGGUAAUUCUUGUCCUUUGCCAAGUGGGAUCAGCUCAAGAACAUGUUUAUUGGAGUCAUGUUCUAAAUCCCCCUGUUUUUAAUGUUAUUACAUGGUGGGAUGCUGACCCGCUUUUGUCAUCUAAUGAUACUUCUUGGGCAGGAGGCCGAUGGAUGCGUCUGUCUUACCCCGUAACUGAAAAUCUGGGAUGGAUUCAACUUAACUACUCCUUGAUUUUAUUGUCUAGUAAUCCCCCUCUUUAUUUUUCCACAAUAGCACAUGAUAAGUGUGUUACUCUCAUCCCUCAGGAGUAUCUUUACUAUCAGCCUAAAAGGGAUGCUAAGCUUGCAAACUUGACCUUUAUUUCUACUAUUACCACUAAUCUUACUGAGGUCUCUAAUGAAGCUACACAAGUGCCCGAUCUUCCUAUAUGCCGUCCGAGUAGGUGCCAGUGGUCGCCGUACAGACCAGCCUGCUCCAUGUCAAGGGCCUCUGUUUGAUAAUGGCACCUUACUUGAUUGGGGUCCCCAUGGUAAUCUUAUGUCUGCAAAUCAGACUAUUGGAUUUGGGAGUCCCUCCAGUAGUUCUAUUACCUAGUCAGAGUAUGGGCUUUCAGGACCAAUAUUACAAGUGAGAGAGAAACAAGCUUUAAGCCCUGCUCAUGCCCAAAUUUGGAGAUUAGGAUUUCCUGUUUUUGAACGGGUUCUUUCACAUGGUGAGUAUAUUACUGGCGGUGGCAACCAUACCCUCUCUUUGCAUAAUAAUGUUACUGACACAGUCCUGAUUUGUACCGCUCACCCUUACAUACUUUUGUUUGGGCAAGGUGUUCCUAACGUAGAGCAGAAUCAAUCCUUUUAUAGUGUUAAAGUCUCUUCCAGUAGUUGGUAUGCUACAUGCUUGUCCAUCGAAACGUUACACAGUUGGAUAUAACCUAUGUCAUGAUCUUAAAAUGGCGUGCAGAAUUGUGGCUGCCUGUAAAUUUAACCUGGAGCUGAAAAGGAGAUUCCACCCUGCAGCUACUUAGAAAAGCACUAUCUCAUACUCGGAAAAAAAAAAAAAAAAAAAAAAAAAAAG
ensembl:lncRNA